UCUGUAUGUGUGUGUUUGUGCAUGUGUUUGUCCCUCAGAGACUGGGUCCUACAGGUGGGUCAUCGUGAGCUUUGGGCUGCUGUGUGUCCUACAAGCCACUCUCAACAUCUCCCUCCGUCUGGCCUUCUGUGAGUCUGGGGAUUAGAGAGACCAGCUACAUACCAGUAACACCAUCCUGGCCAGAGAGAGAGACCAGCUACAGACCAGUAACACCAACCUGACCAGAGAGAGAGAGCUGAAGUGCAGGCCAUGUGAUGUCACUUCCUGUUCUGCUGGUUGGCUGAAGUUCGGUAGUAGCAGUUAUUACGUCUCUACUGAGAGGAAGAACUGGACUGACAGCAGACAGGACUGUAGAGAGAGAGGAGCAGACCUGGUGAUCAUAAACAGCCCAGAGGAACAGGUGAGAGAGAGAGAGUUAUAUGGAAAGUAAAGAACUGCAGAAAUAUAGGUCAACGAGCACAUUUACAUUUACAUUUAUUCAUUUAGCAGACGCUUUUAUCCAAAGCGACUUCCAAGAGAGAGCUUUACAAAGUGCAUAGGUCACUGAUCAUAACAACGAGAUAGCCACAAAACAUUGCGAGUAGCCAAAACAUGAAGCACACAUUGUGAACAACCAAAGUAAGUGCCAAAGGGAAGAACCAUAAGAGCAUGUAGUUAAACAAGUUACAAUUAAACAACAUGAACUGCUAUAAGUGCAAGUGUACCUGUGAAGAAAAAAAGAAAAAGAAAAAAAGAAAAACCAAGCAACAAUAAUAAAAACAAUAUAUCACAGCGAGUACAAACAAUUUUAAAUCAGUUACCACUAACCACAAGAGCAACAAGUCUCUGAGCAAGAGUCAUUGUGAUCCUUGAGGAAACUAACAUCGGGUCAAGCGAACCAUUCCUAAGUACCGUUGUACUCCCGGAACAAGUGCGUCUUGAGCCUUUUCUUUAAGGUGGAGAGACAGUCAGUGUCUCUGAUGGAGGUGGGGAGUUGAUUCCACCACUGGGGGGCCAGACAGGAGAAGAGCUUGUGUUGGGACCGGGCGGUCUUGAGCGGUGGGACCACCAGGCGGUUGUCUGAAGAAGACCGUAGGUGACGGGUGGGGGUGUAAGGCUGCAGGAGAGACUUGAUGUAGACGGGUGC